rfam:Myotis davidii contig65692, whole genome shotgun sequence.
GGGCUCACUUCACCAGCACAUACACUAAAAUUGGAAUGAUACAGAGAAGAUUAGCAUGGACACCUACACAAAGAUGACACACAAAUUUGUGAAGCAUUCCAUAUUUUU